rnacentral:rRNA from 1 species
GUUUCAUUUGAAAUUUUUAUAGAAUUUUAUUUUUUAGUUAAAAAGCUAAAAUAAAUUCAAAAGACGAGAAGACCCUAUAAAUCUUUAUUAUUUAUACAGAUUUUAAUUUAUUUUGAUUGUUUUUAUUAUUAUUUGUUAAAUAAUUUUAUUGGGGUGAUAAUAAAAUUUAAAUAACUUUUAUUUAAUUUAAAUCAUUAAUUUAUGAUUAAUUGAUCCAUUUUUAGUGAUUAAAAAUUUAAGUUACUUUAGGGAUAACAGCGUAAUUUUUUUGGAGAGUUCUUAUCGAUAAAAAAGUUUGCGACCUCGAUGUUGGAUUAAGAUUCAUAUUUAAAUGCAGAAGUUUAAAUAUUAAGUCUGUUCGACUUUAAUUUCUUACAUGAUCUGAGUUCAAACCGGUGUAAGCCAGGUUGGUUUCUAUCUUUGAUUUUAAAAAAUAUUUUAGUACGAAAGGAAUAAAUAUUUAUUAUAUAAUAAUUGUUUUGAGAAU